UCGUAACAAGGUUUCCGUAGGUGAACCUGCGGAAGGAUCAUUACCGAGUGCGGGCUGCCUCCGGGCGCCCAACCUCCCACCCGUGACUACCUAACACUGUUGCUUCGGCGGGGAGCCCCCCAGGGGGCGAGCCGCCGGGGACCACUGAACUUCAUGCCUGAGAGUGAUGCAGUCUGAGCCUGAAUACAAAUCAGUCAAAACUUUCAACAAUGGAUCUCUUGGUUCCGGCAUCGAUGAAGAACGCAGCGAACUGCGAUAAGUAAUGUGAAUUGCAGAAUUCAGUGAAUCAUCGAGUCUUUGAACGCACAUUGCGCCCCCUGGCAUUCCGGGGGGCAUGCCUGUCCGAGCGUCAUUGCUGCCCUCAAGCCCGGCUUGUGUGUUGGGUCGUCGUCCCCCCCCCGGGGGACGGGCCCGAAAGGCAGCGGCGGCACCGUGUCCGGUCCUCGAGCGUAUGGGGCUUUGUCACCCGCUCGAUUAGGGCCGGCCGGGCGCCAGCCGGCGUCUCCAACCUUAUUUUUCUCAGGUUGACCUCGGAUCAGGUAGGGAUACCCGCUGAACUUAAGCAUAUCA
rnacentral:misc_RNA from 1 species